rnacentral:misc_RNA from 1 species
UCUCCGUUGGUGAACCAGCGGAGGGAUCAUUACAGGAUCGAAAGACUCCUAUAACCCCUGUGAACUUACUACAAUGACGUUGCUUCGCCUGGUGCCCCGGGUAUCCCGGGGCGUUCACCCCGCCGGCAGCCUUCAUAUUCUGUUUCUUUGCGUUGGCACUUCGAGUAUUAAAAAAUAAAUUAAAACUUUCAACAACGGAUCUCUUGGUUCUG